UUGACUCGGAUCAGUAGGAGUUACCCGCUGAACUUAAGCAUAUCAAUAAGCGGAGGAAAAGAAACCAACCGGGAUUGCCUCAGUAACGGCGAGUGAAGCGGCAAGAGCUCAAAUUUGAAAUCUGGCCCUUUGGGGUCCGAGUUGUUAUUUGCAGAGGAUGCUUCGGGUGCGGUCCCCGUCUAAGUGCCCUGGAACGGGCCGUCAUAGAGGGUGAGAAUCCCGUCUGGGAUGGGCGGCCGUGCCCGUUGAAGCUCCUUCGACGAGUCGAGUUGUUUGGGAAUGCAGCUCUAAGUGGGUGGUAAAUUUCAUCUAAAGCUAAAUACUGGCCGGAGACCGAUAGCGCACAAGUAGAGUGAUCGAAAGAUGAAAAGCCCUUUGAAAAGAGAGUUAAACAGCACGUGAAAUUGUUGAAAGGGAAGCGUUGUCCACCAGACUCGCCCGGGGGGGCUCAGCCGCACGUGUGCCGGUGUACUCCUCUCCGGCCGGCCCAGCAUCGGUUUGGGCGGCUGGUGAAAGGCCCCGGGAAUGUACACCUCCGGGGUGCCUUAUAGCCCGGGUUCAUGCGGCCAGCCUGGACC
rnacentral:rRNA from 1 species